AUUUUACUCCCUUCAUCAACGCAACAUCCCCGAAAACCGGGGGAGCCAAACUACGACUUUCCCUUUCGUCAGUGUCUCUAAUCGUUACAGAACGGGGCAAAAAGGGGCGUCGCGAGGGCAGCGCUGCUCCCAGUCUUGGACGGUUUGAAAUCUCUAGUCGCCUCGAAUGGAGGCUUGAUCGACGAGAGGACAAAGGGAAAGAUGAAAAAGUGGACGAAGGGGCUUGGGAAGGUUGGAGGAAGGCAGUUGGCUGCUAGAUUAUCCCUAAUGCUGCAGAGGUAUAGGAGAUUGUAGAAGAUGGAAGUCAGCCGGUGGGGUGAAGAGACGAUUGUUUUAAUAAAGUUUCGGUCCAAUUGAUUGGUUGAGAAACUUCACGAAAAAAAACUGGAAAAAAACAUAAAUGUCGAAUAAUUCAUUUGAAAGGCGCAAGGCUAAGGAGAAGAAAACUGGACCGAAAGGGCCUCCUUGGCGGAAUCCUCUGAGAGGGUGAUAGUACAUGCCCAUCGCAGACCUACGCCGACGAAUUGCCGCGGGAUCAUUUAC
rnacentral:sRNA from 1 species